CUCAGAUAUUCCAGUAAAAACUGUAGCAGUGCUGAUAUGUCAGUGGCAUUCUUUUGAGAUCUGGAGCAAAGGAACAAGUCCAGAUAAUCUCAGCUAGAAGUUAUGGUAGACAGCAGAAUUACAGUGACUCUGGAUUGAAUUGACAUUGCCAAGCACUACUACCUCAAGAUAACUAAGAAUUCAAAGAAAUAUAAGGAAGUAUCAAGUUACACCAUUGAAAAUCUAAUUGAUAUGACCAAUAACUUACACAGAAAGAGACAUAACAUGGCAGAGGAAGUAAAAGGGGAACUUAAUACUUGUCAAACAAGCCUAAUACUUGAAAGAAGAGUGGUGUUUCACUGAUGAAAUUUAAGUAACUGAUUGUAUUGAGACCGAAGAGUUGGUGAUAAGGAAUCCAUUUCCAUGAAUGAUUGGGGAAUUGCUGACUUGUACUACAAGAGAAAAUAUGAAGCUACUUUUCAAACUGCUUGUUAUUCAUCAAGUCCACAUACAAAGGGGCUCGUGAUGUGGCUGAGUUACCCAGGGUGAACCUGAACUCCCAGCCCUCCCACUUCAUCUUUCCAGAGUGCAGGUAUCGGAAGGACGAGCCCCUGCACCCAGCUUGGCAAGACUCAUGAGGUGCUAUCAUGAAAGUGUAAAUGUGAUGAACUAAUGGGCUUAUUACAACCAAGUUAAAAAUAAAUUUUUCCA